rnacentral:lncRNA from 1 species
GGCAGCGUUCUAAGUGCUUUUACAAUGCAAACCGCUUUUGAUUUUCAUAGAAAUUCUACUAACUAGACAUUGUUAAUAGCUUCAUUCUACAGUGGAAAAUGAGGUAUGGAGGGCAGGUGACUCCUAGUAGCAUCCCUUCCGAGAGCUCAGCUACCUUUCUGUGUUCCAGCCAUCCCGCCGCACCGCCUCUCCCUCUGCGCAUGCGCACCCCCCCCCCCAGUUCGUCGUCCCUGGCCUCCAGUCCCUCGUGGGAAACAAUUGCCAGCCUCCGGGUCCCCGCGGCGAGGGAGCGGCGGGUGAGCCCGGAGGAGUUGAGCAAAGGCCUAGGGGGCCCGGGAGGCUUCGGGGACCGGAAGGAGGCGGCUGAUGCUAGGCGGAGAGGAGGAGUCCCGCGGACCCCGCGUAUUCUGAAGUCAUCGAAGGCUGUGUGCCGGUCGAAGGUCUGGGACAAGUUUAAGAAGAGAGAACCUAAAUUGGUUACAAAUGAAUAA